AUUUUUGAUAAUUUAAGAUUGGGUGAAGUGGUGAAAUUAUAAUAUGAAAACUUUU
rnacentral:tRNA from 1 species